rnacentral:rRNA from 1 species
GACGUAGGGCGCGAGCGUUGUCCGGAUUUAUUGGGCGUAAAGAGCUCGUAGGCGGCUUGUCGCGUCGAAUGUGAAAACUCGGGGCUCAACUCCGAGCUUGCAUCCGAUACGGGCAGGCUAGAGUUCGGUAGGGGAGACUGGAAUUCCUGGUGUAGCGGUGAAAUGCGCAGAUAUCAGGAGGAACACCGGUGGCGAAGGCGGGUCUCUGGGCCGAUACUGACGCUGAGGAGCGAAAGCGUGGGGAGCGAACAGG